UCGAAUGCGAAUGCACACAAGGAUUUUUUCCCCUUUUUUUCAAAGAGGCAGAGGCAAACAAAACGAGAGAACCAGCCCAUUUUCGUCGGGACGCGGUCCUUUCAUCCGUGAAGACCGUUUAAAAUUAAUCGCACAAAGCGGCAAAGUGGCUUUCUUCUCGUGGAAUUUCCCUUUUUCACGCGCAUUUAAUCGGGAAACAAUCGGGGAACGUGGUUGAAACGCUACGGAGCGUAACACUUUUGCUCUGGAACCAGAGUGAAAAAGGGAAAGAGAGAGAGAGAGAGAGAGAG